rnacentral:lncRNA from 10 species
CUUUUAUUGCUCCAACAUAUGAGUGAGAGCUAGAACUCAAUCGUGUUCCCCUAGAACUAGGUCAAUGUAACCACUGCUGCCACCAGCACUGGAGAAGGGAAGGGGUCGAGAAGCCCACGUGAAGAGGGGCCAUGAUUAGCUUCAUACGGCCUCGAGUAUAAACACCACAGAUUGGCUCGUGGGUUCUAUGGGGAGAAAGAGGCGGCAGCGUCAAGAGGAGAUCAUCGCUAUUUUAAGUUUCUUCAUGGUUCAGCAGGCGGCUGCUAAGAGUUCUAAAGGAGCAAACAAAAUGAGAAAAGUUUAUUGAUUAGUUUACAAAUAACUGUUGUGUAAGAAAAGAUACUGAAUGGCAUGCUGGUUUACUGGUGGCAUGCUUUUUCAGGCCCCUUUCAUUGUAUGGCCUUGGGAGCCAGCCUCAAGGGGAAGAUGAAAGAAGCAAAGCAAAUUCUUUGGAUAAAGAAGGGUUUGCACCAGUUAAAAAAAUAAAUAAGUGGGACCAUUUAUUUAUUGUUGUUUUGGAAGUAGACCAAUAUAUUCCUACUCUUCUUCAUCUCUUCAUGAAAAAAAAAAAUCUCUUUACACAACUGUUUUCUCCCCUGGUCAACACAAUAAUGCUUUAGACAUUGGAUUCCAUGACACAGGUAACAAGCUUCGAUAUGGCCCCAUCCACUUACAAGUCAUUCACUGAGCGGUGUUUAGAAAAGGAGCAAAAGCAUCAAAUCUGUGCUUUUUCCUGAACUUCUAUCUGAAAGAUCCUGACCUAGAGGCAGAAAGGUCACUUCAGGUGAGGGAGUUGUACCUGGAAAAAACAAGCAUGGAAACAAUAGCAGGACUUCCACCCAAGCUCUGCCUUGCUUCCUCUUCGUGGGACCUUGGCUGAUUAUUUCACUUCUCUAGGGUCAACCCCAUCAUUCUGGGGAAGGCUUGUGGGGGGGUUCACCAAAAUGAAGGGUACACAAGCCUAGGACACAGUAAGUGCUUGAGCAGUGCCACUGUUAGCCACUCUGAUGAUUAGUUAAGUGAAAUGCCUGGUGAGAUACAGUGAGUGGUGAGACAGGGGCUGAGAUGGGAGCCGGGCACACAGUGAGGGGCCUUCUGAACCUUGCCAAGGAGUUUGGCCUGGCAUCCACAGACUUGCAUACAAAAUAAGUUAAAAAAAAAAAAGUGAGAUGAUUUAAAGGAAAAUAUUAAGUAAGUAAUUGUUUAGGAGCAGAACCAAUAAACAAAAAUCACAAGGGAAGCAAUAACAUGACAAAAGCUUGGGAAAGACAAUGGUUGAAUAUGAAGCCUGAAUUAAAAGCCAUGUUCCCAUAAAUGGAAAGGCUGCAACUGUGUAUCAAAUCCUUUUCUCCCUUCUCCUCUCCCUCCCUGGAACUGCCUGUUCCAACCAAUAACCAAAGAACCUAGUGCAGCCAAGGAGUCAUGUGAACACAGCAAAAAGCAGCAGGAACCCAGACGUCUGGCCAGAGGGGUGGCCUCAUGCCCCACAGCUGGGCAGGGGAGAGGAUGGACAAAAGGUGCUAGAAUUGCUCUUCUAGGCAGUAGUUACAGCAUAAAAACAAGGCUAUCUAGCACCAAACCAGACACUGGCUUUGGAGGAUUACAAACUUGAAUUUGAGUCAUUUAGUACCACAAGGCCGCCUGGAUGAGGGCAUGUAAACAGAUCACUCUGACACAAAGACAAAGAUAUUUCCUCUAAGAGAAGGCCAUGUGUACACAGACACAGGGAUUUGUCCCUAGGUCAUGUAGCAGAGGAAGGUUUAAUGUUUGAAUGAAGACAGCAUGAUGCAGCAGAGUAUCAGAAAGACCUGA